rnacentral:lncRNA from 10 species
CACAGAGCCUAUGGGUUAACAGACGAACACAAUUUAGAGACAGAAAAAACUGGGUAUGUACGUUAGUCCCCUUAUCUGUGGUUUCGCUUUUCACAGUUUCGGUUACCCGUGGUCAACUGAGUCUGAAAAUAGCUGACUGGCACCCUUCUCUCUGGCUGGCAGCGGAUUAGCACACUGAAUCCCAUCCCUGAGAUGUCCUGGCACACAUCCUGGGCCCCUCUGUGAAGUGUUUGCCAUGGCCUCGAGCCCCUCAGGUUGAGUGCACUUGUCUGCAAAGGGCUGUGUUCUACAGCAACGUGGGACCCACGAAGGAAGCCUUAUGAUUCAUUUUUCAUCUCAUCAUUACUCGCCUUGCCUGUAUGCCAAGGCUGGGAAGCAAUGGGCCAGAGGUUUGUGCUCUGAGCAAUUCUGAAUCAUGUGGAGAAUAUGAAGGAAAAUGAGAAGUUUAAAAAUACUCCAUAGGAAAGAAAUGGUUCUUGCCACCUGGGCCUCAUCAUGGGACAACUUACCCCGUGGCAGCUGCUUUCCUUGAUGUGAGCCAGCAGGUCAGAGAAGGCAUCCAGAAGAGAAGCCACAGCCUUUCUGCAGCCCAACCUCAGAAGGGCCAUCCCAUCACUUGUACGCCUAAUGAAUGCUUUAUGGCUGAGAAAUGAUGGAGGAAGCGAGUGAGACUGAAGAGAUGAAGAAACUGAGGCACACAGAGAGAGACCCGGACGUGGCAUUCCCAGCAGUACUCAGAAAAGGAAGAAAGUACCGGAUUCCACACUGGGAUUGAUAUGUGUGGGACAAAGGUAGCUGGUUCAGAAAUUGGAGCUGAAAACCUUGAGAAGAGGUCCCUUGGAAGUGGCAGCAAUCUGGAGGAGAGCUUUGGGUUUCCAAAGGCCACAGAAUGGGUGGGAGGUAAGUUCUGGUCAAUUUUCUUCAUACCCACAAAGAGCUGGGGAGCCUCUGGCUGGCAUCUGUGUUACCCUCAACAGCUACAGCUUCUCCAAACUAACUACCAGCCUGCUCUGGUCUUGACUGGCUCAAAUAUUCUCUUGCUUCUUCUCCCCACAUGUCUACCUGGCCAGUGUGUGUAGGCGUAAGAGAACCAGCUGGUAGUAUGAGGAUGCUGGUUAGGAAAGAUGGAGCACCAGACAGUGGAAGAGAGACAGGGUCCAAGAAAAGAGAGAAUCAGUAAAGAAAGCAGAAGCUCCAUUUCAUAGCCCUCCCUCUACCAUAUGAAAGAAAGCAAAACAAAUACAUGUCCCAAGCCAAAACUGACACAAAAACUGAUCCCCCCUGCCAAAAAAACCAUCACCACAACAAGAAAACCCCACUUUCCGGUGGUAAGGUAAAGGGAGAACAGGCAACAACAGCAAAGUGUGGGUGACCUCGUUGCACGUGGCACAAACGAUGAGCUAAGAUGGAGUUUUAGGCCAAGACAGCAGAAGGUGGCCACAGGGAUAUUUCAUGCCUUAUUCAGUGUUCACAGGUACACCUAGUGAGAACCCAUGUCUUAAAUUCUGUCCCUGAGUGUGAAGUUGAAGCAGAAGGCCCAUUAAAAAGGGCCUUUAGGAGUGCUGUGGAGAGUUGAUAAAGGUGUGAGAAUCCUGCAAUGGCUGACAUCACAAAGAGAGAACUUGAGAUCCCCUUUCAAGUCCUGGCUGAGGGUUUUGACUGGAAAAGCUGGUUUUAAACACUGACAUUAUGAAUGCUUGGGAUGUGAGUAAAACACCUGAAAUUCUUCAGCCAGUUGUGAAUAGAGGAAUAGUCCCAUUUUUUAAUGGCUUGACUUAGUCACUGAAGGUGAUUUCCUAAACCCCAGAAAAUUGUUACAAACCAUCAGACUGUGGGUGCCACAGCCCUUAGUCAGUAAAAUAGCCCCACAUGGUGGGAAAACAUUCCAAUCUCUCUCCAAAAUGGGAAUAAAGGCAUUCAACAAAAUUACUCGGACUUUAAAAACACAAUACCAUUUCUCACUUUGCGUUAGUGUAGUAACAAAUUCUAAUGGAGGUAAUUCUCAAGUAUGCAAUUGUAUAAACUUGCCUUCUGAAUGGAAAGAUUGGAAUUUAGGCAGCUGACCCCUGGCGUGAUGUUUAUGAUCAGAUCCAAGACAGGGCUGUCUGCCUGUCAUGUCCCAGUCGGUACCACCCUGCCCAGCAUCUAUGUUUGCUAAGGGUGUACAUAUACAG